rnacentral:lncRNA from 1 species
UACAAAUUUACAAUACUUGAGGUUAUAACAUGGACAUCAUUUAAAAUUUAGAAUUUAAUUUACAAGUAUGGAAGUUUAAUGACUAAAUUUAAGCUUAAUUGAAGAAGGGGGAUUUACUUUGCAAAUUUUAGUUGUGGCCCAUUUAAAAACCACUUGUUCAUUUCAUUACACAUAGAAAAACAUAUGCAAGAAUCUGGAAACUGGAAACGGGGCAGAAGCUGGGAGAAUUCGAGAAAGAGAGGGAGAAAGAGAGAAAAAGGAAAAAAGAAGGAAAUGGAAGAGGCUGAUGAUUUUUGUAAGUUUGGGUUCUUCAUUUCUUCAGCUUAUCACUUUUUUUAGAGAGGUAAGUUAAUUAAAUUUCUAGGGUUUAUGGAACAUUCAUUUAUAUUCGAAGUUUAGCAAGAAUUAGAGAUUAUUAUUAUGUUUUUGAGGUAUUAAACAAGAAUAUAUCAAAGGAAUGUAUAUUUGAAAAUUUGUGAUGAAGAAAAUGGAAUUUUGAAGGGGUUUGUGAGAUAAGUGUUUACUCUUUGAUUUUCUUGUGAUUAUAUAAUACUGAACACUUAAAUUAGGGAUUUGAGAUUGGAAUUUCCCAUUUUUUUUAAAGUAAUUUUCGGGUUACUGUAGUAUAGGUGCUGUUUCUGAUAGUGUGCACAGAAUGGUGCCACUUCUGUCAAUAGUUUUGGUGUCAAAUUUCAAUAUUGAGAAAUUGGUGUCACAUUUCAAUAUUCUGGAAUUUUAGUGCUGUCUUUGUCAAACCUUUGAUUUUCACAUUUUAAAGGCUUGAAUGAAGUUUUAUGACAAGUAUUGAGAUUUAUGUAUUGGAAUAAAUUAUGCAUAGGGGUUGUAUAUGUAUAAGUUAUUGAUUUUAAGGAAGUGAGAGUAAUUUAAUGGAUUUAAUAAUGCAUGGUAUUUAGUUGAUAAAUCAUUAAAGAGAAGAAAGUUAGAGAAUUGGAAAUGUAAGAGUAAGUAUAGAAGUUGAGAAGUUAAGUGGUGGAUUUAUAUUAAUUUAAUUGUUAGAUUUUAAUUCGAGAAAUUAUACCGUUAUUUCAGGCGGGAAUGUGGAAGCUUGGAAAUCUUCGUCAAUUUAAGCAAAUUUCUAUUCAUAGAUCUGUGAGUGGAAAAAUAUAAAUAUUUUUAGAGUAUUUAUAAAUUAAGUUUAUUGUUAAAGUAUGUGUAAUUAUAUGCAAUUAUGUGUUCGAAUUAAAUGAUUUUUAUGGAAAUAUCUUUUAUUAUAAUAUAUGUGGGAUUUCAAAGAUUGUAUACGUUACAUUGUGAAUUGGAAUAUGAGAUAUAAUUUUGAGAUCGACCAGAAGAGUACCCGUGAUUAUAUAUUUCUUCUAGUUCACUGAGGGGCCUUGAUCGUGUUCUAUACUACACAGAGGGGUCAUGGACCGAGGAUGAAGGGGUCUCGACCGUGUACAUAUAGUUCACUGAGGGGCCCUGGUUGUGUUCUAGAAUUGAUUUUGAGAGGUUUUUGACUCCGACUUUCGUUCACGGAGGAGCUAAAGGCCCGUGGCGAAAGUUCCUUGCCCAAGAGGCGGAUUACAUAUUUCAAUCAAAGGGUAUAUUUUUGAUGGAUUUUUCAGUACGUUUGAUGUGAUGAGAUUAUAGCAUGGUUAUCAGCUAAUGUCUAUAUCAUGAUUUUGAGAUGAUAUUUUACGACCUUAUGUGAAUAUUUCACUUUUUGGUUAUAAUUACAUGAUGUUAUCUUCUAAAUUAUUAAAUGAUAUGAACUCCAUUUUCGAUAGAAAUGUAAAAUUGAAAAAGUAUAAUUAUUUUCGAACUGCUCCACUCACUGAGUUAUCAACUCAUAUAUUUUUCUAUAAUUUUUCCUACAGGUGGAAAUUGAUUUUUUUUAGCUGGAAGAGCCUAAUGAUUUCGGAAUAAGAGCCAUACGACAUGUUGAAUAUUAUAACUCAUAUUGAUGAAGCACGAAGUAAAAAUUUUGGGCCCAUCGCAUUAUGUUUUUAUAAAUAUUUGAUUUUGUUGCAUUUUUUUUGAAAUAACUCAUAGUCAGCCUUGAUGAUAGAUUUGACAUCGAGUCAGCAUCUAUCAUCGGCGCACGUCACGUUUCGGGUCCACUAGGGUGAUUCGGGACGGGUCGUGUCACUUUUUAACUACACAUUCUCCAAAAAAUUAAUAUUUCAAAAUGAAUUCCCCAAAAUCUCAUUAAAAUGGUGCCCAAACAAGAGUUGAAGUUUAUCAUUUCCACAUAAGAGGUGUGUCCAUUGAAGAUAUGAAGAAAUGGAUAUAAAAGAGCUCCAUGGUUGGAAAAAUGGUAAAAUGGAAUGCGAAUAUCUAAUGUUACCUUUUCAUUAUUUAUCUAUUAUUAUUUUUCAAAAAAUAUGUUUUGGGAAUGACCAAAUCUAUAAAAUUUCACCAGCUUUCGGUCAAUUGGUUGGUUUGCCUGUUAAUUCACCGUUUCCUAUUAUGUGCUUAUUAUUUUUGUCUUUUUUUUUAAGAAUCGGACCGAACUUGUCAAUUUUUUCAAUUGAACCGAUCAAUCGAUCCAAUUUUAAG